UGCUCAUUGUGAAAGCAAACACAGAGGGAGU
rnacentral:piRNA from 1 species